AGUCGCUUAGCGAAGGCUGUCCCGCGGCGGGCGCAGGCGCGGGUGGCGGGGUGUGCUUGGGCGGGAAGUGGGUGGUGAGGGCCGCUCUGGGCUCAGCGUUCCCCACCUGGAAUGCGUCCUGGCUUCGGCUGGCCCGGCCCAACCCUCAGCGGCCGCGGUGCCCAGGCCCACUCCUUCCGCGCCUGGAAACGUGAGACGGGUCACUGAGGACGACGUAGGCAAACUUUGCAGAGCACGUUGCCACCUGUUGGAGUAGCCGCUCCAGCCCCAGUCGAAAUGCACGGCCGAACAAUGGCAGUUCUGAGUGGCUCAGGGGCCCACACUUUCUUUAAAACCGAUGCACUCGUAGUAAUAUUUCUUAUGCCCCACAUCCAGAGGCCUGUGCUCACCACCUCAGCAGUGCCCGGGGAGGUUCGCCAGGCGUGGGCAGGCUCUCCCUUGAAAGCACCUGACCUGGUUCUACCUUGCACUGGGGCUGAAUGGGAAUUACAUGGGAAUCUCUUAUUGUAAUGCAUGAACAGACACGGCUUUAAGAACAACAAAACUUCUUGAAAUGCAAAACAGCAAUGAAAAUGCAAGUCUCAGAUUUACUGACAUACAAGAAACAACUGAAGGGGAAUUACAAUGUUUGAAGACAGACAAGAGGAGAUUAUUCAGAAGAGAGACACUAGCAGUUUCACAAGAAAAGGGAACAGGACUGGACCGCUGGCUGUUCCUUCUUUGAUCCCAGGCAUGAUUUCAGCUUGUAGAAUAAAUGAGAAAUGCCUGUUGGUUUAAUUAAAAGAACCGCAUUGGC
rnacentral:lncRNA from 1 species